UACGUAGGGUGCGAGCGUUAAUCGGAAUUACUGGGCGUAAAGAGUGCGCAGGCGGCUUCGCAAGUCAGGCGUGAAAUCCCCGGGCUUAACCUGGGAAUGGCGUCUGAAACUGCGGGGCUAGAGUGUGGCAGAGGGAGGUGGAAUUCCACGUGUAGCGGUGAAAUGCGUAGAGAUGUGGAGGAACACCGAUGGCGAAGGCAGCCUCCUGGGUCAACACUGACGCUCAUGCACGAAAGCGUGGGGAGCAAACAGG
rnacentral:rRNA from 1 species